GCACGUGGAACAUUAACAGAAUGAUCUUAGAUUGCGUUAUGAAACAAAGUGGUCUGGAGUGACCUGUGUUCCUCAAGAGGAUGUGAAAUGACCUCUCCUUGUCCCAUGCACCUUUUUGAAUAUUCUUUUUUGUUUGUUUUUGUUUUGAUACAGAGUCUCGAUCUGUCGCCCACGCUGGAGUGCAGUGGCGCAAUUCCCAAGAUAAAUGAUUAUUUUUGUAUUAUUUUGAUUUUUAUUUACCCAUGUAAAUAUAUUUUUGCUCCCAACUCCCCACUUCCAUUUUAGUCCUC
rnacentral:lncRNA from 1 species